GGUCCAUUGGUCAAGCGGUUAAGACGCCGCCCUCUCACGGCGGAAACAGGGGUUCGAUUCCCCUAUGGACUA
rfam:Eubacteriaceae bacterium CHKCI004 isolate CHKC4 genome assembly, contig: {contig22}